rnacentral:rRNA from 1 species
UCCUACGGGACGCAGCAGUGAGGAAUAUUGGUCAAUGGGCUAAGGCCUGAACCAGCCAAGUCGCGUGAGGGAAGACGGUCCUAUGGAUUGUAAACUGCUUUUGUACGAGGGUAAAUCCCGAUACGUGUAUCGGGUUGAAAGUAUCGUACGAAUAAGGAUCGGCUAACUCCGUGCCAGCAGCCGCGGUAAUACGGAGGAUUCAAGCGUUAUCCGGAUUUAUUGGGUUUAAAGGGUGCGUAGGCGGUUCGAUAAGUUAGAGGUGAAAUCCCGGGGCUCAACUCCGGCACUGUCUCUGAUACUGUCGG